AUAAAUAAAGAGUGGGUAACGAAACAAAAGAAAUCAUCAACCCCUGAUGCGCUUGACUUUGUUCCAGCCUUUCUUGCACGACUCUCCCACUAUUUUCACGCCCUUUUUGAAGAAAACCUUGAGUUCCUUGGCUCUCUCUUUUACUUGCUGCUCGAACCCGGCCAUCGAACCAGAGCUUCAAACGAACAAUGAAA